rnacentral:ncRNA from 1 species
GGCCACCUUCGGGGGGCUAACCAUAGGCAGGGUAACCUGCCGCAGCUAACGGAAGACAGAAA